AUUGAACGCUGGCGGCAGGCCUAACACAUGCAAGUCGAGCGGAGCGGCGGACGGGUGAGUAAUACCUAGGAAUCUGCCUGGUAGUGGGGGAUAACGUUCGGAAACGGACGCUAAUACCGCAUACUAUCAGAUGAGCCUAGGGCGGAAUGGCUAGUUGUUGGGGUAAAGGCCUACCAAGGCGACGAUCCGUAACUGGUCUGAGAGGAUGAGCAGUCACACUGGAACUGAGACACGGUCCAGACUCCUACGGGAGGCAGCAGUGGGGAAUAUUGGACAAUGGGCGAAAGCCUGAUCCAGCCAUGCCGCGUGUGUGAAGAAGGUCUUCGGAUUGUAAAGCACUUUAAGUUGGGAGGCGUUACCGACAGAAUAAGCACCGGCUAACUCCGUGCCAGCAGCCGCGGUAAUAC
rnacentral:rRNA from 1 species